AUCAUGGCUCAGGAUGAACGCUAGCUACAGGCUUAACACAUGCAAGUCGAGGGCAGCAUGAACUUAGCUUGCUAAGUUUGAUGGCGACCGGCGCACGGGUGAGUAACACGUAUCCAACCUGCCGAUGACUCGGGGAUAGCCUUUCGAAAGAAAGAUUAAUACCCGAUGGCAUAGUUCUUCCGCAUGGUAGAACUAUUAAAGAAUUUCGGUCAUCGAUGGGGAUGCGUUCCAUUAGGUUGUUGGCGGGGUAACGGCCCACCAAGCCUUCGAUGGAUAGGGGUUCUGAGAGGAAGGUCCCCCACAUUGGAACUGAGACACGGUCCAAACUCCUACGGGAGGCAGCAGUGAGGAAUAUUGGUCAAUGGACGAGAGUCUGAACCAGCCAAGUAGCGUGAAGGAUGACUGCCCUAUGGGUUGUAAACUGCUUUUAUAAGGGAAUAAAGUGAGUCUCGUGAGACUUUUUGCAUGUACCUUAUGAAUAAGGACCGGCUAAUUCCGUG
rnacentral:rRNA from 1 species